rnacentral:rRNA from 1 species
UACGUAGGGGGCGAGCGUUGUCCGAAGUUACUGGGCGUAAAGCGUGCGCAGGCGGUUUUGUAAGCCAGAUGUGAAAUCCCCGGGCUUAACCUGGGAAUGGCAUUUGGGACUGCAAGGCUUGAGUGCGGCAGAGGAGACUGGAAUUCCUGGUGUGCAGUGAAAUGCGUAGAUAUCAGGAGGAACACCGAUGGCGAAGGCAGGUCUCUGGGCUGACACUGACGCUCAUGCACGAAAGCGUGGGGAGCAAACAGGAU